AGAGGGGACAUUGUAUCACAUGGCACAGGCUGCCAUGGUGACUUGCUGCCUUGCUGUGCAGUUAACUGUUUCUUGGUGAAGGUAUCUGGUAGGUUUGACCACCACUGAGCCCUGUUUUCCCGUUUUCAAUUAGUAAGAAGUGAGCAAAGAGAUACUUAGAGACUUUCAUCUUUUCCUCCUAGUAAGACUUUUGCCCACUGGUCUUAGCAUUCAGUAGUGAUUCAUGUCAGAAUGAAUUGGGAUUGCACUAAUUACCAAGUGUUGAUACUUUGAUCCUCUCAUCCCCUCUAGAUUUAUUGAUUAGCAUCCUAAAGUAAGGAAAAGCCUCCCCUUCUUCACAUAUUUAUCUCGCUCUCAUUUAGACCAGGGUGGACUCACAGGUUCCGAUUUUAUGCUGUAGGUUAUAACCCAGAACAUCACUAUUCACUUUGUUUUUCAAAAGAUAUCUGCUUUGUUUAAGCUUACUUAUUCACUGCGUCCUGCAUGUGUGUGUUCAUGAGCAUCCUGUGCUGUGGCAGUGUGUGGAGGUCAGAGGACCGUGUGGAUUCCUGCCGCUGAGCUAGGAUUAUCAGGCUUAGUGGCAAGUGCCUUACUCACCAAGCCAUCCCACCAGCCCUGGCCCUCGUGUUCUCAUUAUUACCUCACUGUUGCCUGGGGCAACUUGCCCUCUAAAAAGCUCAUCACUGAAGCCCGCCUUGUGUUUUCUCUGUGCCAUCUCUGGGGUUUGUGUUUCUGGAACUGAAAGUGCCAUGGAGACUUACUUAGCUUUGUCUUGGAGAAUGGGGUUCAGAAGUGCAUUCUGGGAGCCUGCUGAUGAGCACUCAUUGUUCACAGAGGACUGGGAAUAACGGAGGCUACAUUUCAGAAUGAAGAUCACAGAAGAGACUCUCAGAACCUUCCAGUAAAACAAAGCGUUGGACUCCUUUCCACCCACCCAGUCAUCCUGCUGUGGUGAACUGAGAGAGGCCAGGGCUGUGUGGGAAAACCUAAGAGUGCCAUUCUGCAAGUGAGGAGCUGCUAAGAAGUUCCUUUCCUAGUCCAGUCCAAUGUUCAACCCAGCUCGGCUCUACCUAACCCAAAAGAGAGGCCACUGACCCCGGAAUUGAGUGGACUCUGAAGUCUCAUGUGUAUAGGAACAAAAGUCCCUGAUCAAAGUGGGGCCUGCAGGAAUGCAGGUAUUCUCUGGCAUGCUGUCUGCCGGACAUCUGGACAGACCUGCAAAAGGUGAGGUUAGAGACCAGGAGCAUGGUCUAAUGUCCCACAGUAUGGUAGCUUUGGGGAGGAGAUGCAAAACAGUGACAAUGUAACAUCUGUCACAGAAUCUCCUUCAGUCCCCAUCCCAGGGGUACCUUUCCCAGGGGGAAGUGGGAAGCUUCAGCCUGGAAAGGAAGGCAGGGAAUUCUGAGAAUUAUAAAGUGGACCAGAGAACUGGAUGGCAAAGAAUCUGGAGUUUCAAACACAGGGAGAACCUCAAAUAGAGAAGUUGGCGUGCAGAAGUAGAGUUGGUUCCAGAUCCUGAUUUGUAGAAGGCCUUCACUGAUGCCUUCCUGAUAAAAGAGGAACUAUUCAGACGUUGGAGGAGGUCCUUGCAGGAAAGAGAAGAUGGGGACAAGAGGUCACAUCCUGGUCCUCCCCGAAGAAAGGCACCAUUAAGUCUUCAGUGACUUAAGUGACUUGAUCUUUCCUUACUAUAAAUAAAGACCUGUGGGAUAAACAAUGAACUAAGCAA